rnacentral:rRNA from 1 species
UACGUAGGGUGCAAGCGUUAAUCGGAAUUACUGGGCGUAAAGCGUGCGCAGGCGGUUUUGCAAGACAGAUGUGAAAUCCCCGGGCUUAACCUGGGAACCGCAUUUGUGACUGCAUAGCUGGAGUACGGCAGAGGGGGAUGGAAUUCCGCGUGUAGCAGUGAAAUGCGUAGAUAUGCGGAGGAACACCGAUGGCGAAGGCAAUCCCCUGGACCUGUACUGACGCUCAUGCACGAAAGCGUGGGGAGCAAACAGG